rnacentral:rRNA from 1 species
AGAGUUUGAUCAUGGCUCAGGACGAACGCUGGCGGCGCGCCUAACACAUGCAAGUCGAACGGAGCUUAGAGAGCUUGCUUUUUAAGCUUAGUGGCGAACGGGUGAGUAACGCGUGAGUAACCUGCCCUAGAGUGGGGGACAACAGUUGGAAACGACUGCUAAUACCGCAUAAGCCCACGGUACCGCAUGGCACUGAGGGAAAAGGAUUUAUUCGCUUUAGGAUGGACUCGCGUCCAAUUAGCUAGUUGGUGAGGUAACGGCCCACCAAGGCGACGAUUGGUAGCCGGACUGAGAGGUUGAACGGCCACAUUGGGACUGAGACACGGCCCAGACUCCUACGGGAGGCAGCAGUGGGGGAUAUUGCACAAUGGGGGAAACCCUGAUGCAGCGACGCCGCGUGGAGGAAGAAGGUUUUCGGAUUGUAAACUCCUGUCGUUAGGGACGAUAAUGACGGUACCUAACAAGAAAGCACCGGCUAACUACGUGCCAGCAGCCGCGGUAAAACGUAGGGUGCAAGCGUUGUCCGGAAUUACUGGGUGUAAAGGGAGCGCAGGCGGGAAGACAAGUUGGAAGUGAAAACCAUGGGCUCAACCCAUGAAUUGCUUUCAAAACUGUUUUUCUUGAGUAGUGCAGAGGUAGAUGGAAUUCCCGGUGUAGCGGUGGAAUGCGUAGAUAUCGGGAGGAACACCAGUGGCGAAGGCGGUCUACUGGGCACCAACUGACGCUGAGGCUCGAAAGCAUGGGUAGCAAACAGGAUUAGAUACCCUGGUAGUCCAUGCCGUAAACGAUGAUUACUAGGUGUUGGGGGAUUGACCCCCUCAGUGCCGCAGUUAACACAAUAAGUAAUCCACCUGGGGAGUACGACCGCAAGGUUGAAACUCAAAGGAAUUGACGGGGGCCCGCACAAGCAGUGGAGUAUGUGGUUUAAUUCGAAGCAACGCGAGGAACCUUACCUGCUCUUGACAUCUCCCUGACCGGCAAGUAAUGUUGCCUUUCCUUCGGGACAGGGAUGACAGGUGGUGCAUGGUUGUCGUCAGCUCGUGUCGUGAGAUGUUGGGUUAAGUCCCGCAACGAGCGCAACCCCUAUCUUUAGUAGCCAGCGGUUUGGCCGGGCACUCUAGAGAGACUGCCAGGGAUAACCUGGAGGAAGGUGGGGAUGACGUCAAAUCAUCAUGCCCCUUAUGAGCAGGGCUACACACGUGCUACAAUGGCGUAAACAAAGGGAGGCAGAACCGCGAGGUCGAGCAAAUCCCAAAAAUAACGUCUCAGUUCGGAUUGUAGUCUGCAACUCGACUACAUGAAGCUGGAAUCGCUAGUAAUCGCGAAUCAGAAUGUCGCGGUGAAUACGUUCCCGGGUCUUGUACACACCGCCCGUCACACCAUGGGAGUCAGUAACGCCCGAAGUCAGUGACCCAACCGUAAGGAGGGAGCUGCCGAAGGUGGGACCGAUAACUGGGGUGAAGUCGUAACAAGGUA